ensembl:misc_RNA 7SK 7SK RNA
GGAUGUGCAGGUGAUCUGGCUGCCACAUCUGUCAUCCCAUUGAUCACCAGGGUUGAUUUGACUGAUCACGCUGGUAGGCAGGUGUUCCCUUGCUCUCUCAUCACUCUAUGUACAACCCUCCCAAUGAUCACCCCAGGUAGGGGAGCACUGUUCCCCAGCCGAGGGUGUAGGAGUAUCUGUGCUGUCCUACUGGAACUUCCAUAGAAGCUCUCAAAAAGUAAGUCAAUAAUUUCGAAGUAUGGGUUGGAGGUUUAGCUCAGCAGCACCAGUACCUGCCUACAAGCGUGAGGCUGUGAGUUC